rnacentral:rRNA from 1 species
ACUUACGGCCAUACCAUCCUGAAUACGCCUGAUCUCGUCUGAUCUCGGAAGCUAAGCAAGCGCUGGCCUGGUUAGUACUUGGAUGGGAGACCGCCUGGGAAUACCAGGUGCUGUAAGUG